rnacentral:lncRNA from 1 species
GAAGAUUGGUGCGCAAAAAUCCGCAAAACACAAAACUGCGUAUAGAGAUUGUGUUACCUAGGGAGAUCGUAUAUCCCUGUUUCCUUGCAGAUCCUUAGGAAAGGGUGAAGGAGGUCAAGCGUCCUCCUCUCUAGCGGUGAUCCACACAGCAGGGUUACGACGACGCUCCUCAAAACUCCAGGCCUACUCUAAGGUGGAGAGGGAGAGGAGAAUAGGAAAGGCAAGCAAAGACUCUAGCCUAUGAGGCUGUGAAUCCCUCCUAUUUAUAGAGAUCCCGUGUCAAACCCUAAUGGGUCCUUCCCUAGUGGGUAUUGGAUCUGCAUCCAAUAAGACAAGGGCUCCGUCGGAUAUCUCAUAUCCGAAUGGACCUAUCUGUCCUUAGUUACCAUGUACCUAUAGUCCCUCAUCUAUCUAAUAUCCCAGAGACCGUAUAUCGAGCAUGGUGCUGUCAGACCCAUACGGUUUCUACUCGAGUCUCGCUCUAAUCGGAUUCUCCCGGAGAACUCUUUCUCUCUCAACCCGAAUGACCCUGGCCAGGGAUUUGUCUGAGCAAGAACACAUAGGAUAUUCCUCUCAUGACGCCGAGAGUGGAUGAUCCUCUAUUGACACUCAAUAGCCCUCGUAAGGUUGACUACCACUCCCAUUGACCAGUUGUACUAGAUCUGGGGAUAGCCAAACCUAUAAGUCUGGUAUCAAAGAGUGGAGCACUCAUACAGGACAUCCUUGGUGUCUCAAGUCUAAGGACCAGAUACACCAUUAGGACUACGGAAUCGCUAUCUGACAAUAAGGCAUCAUCAACCAUCCAGCAUUCCGUAAGCGGAUCAAUCAGUGAACUCAUUCUCCAAUGAGCACCUGUACUGUAUCCCUAGUGUCCCUACACGAGCAGCUAUGAGACCAGCUGCAUCCAUCAUAUGGACGGGUAUACAGCACACCAGUCUAUCCGGUUAUCACGAUGUCCCUCUCGAGUAACCUAUGAUCGGGAUUAUUUAGGAUAUGUGUUUAAAGGUGAAUCGAUCUCAUUAUCGUGAUCUCAUCACAAUCCGAUUCCCAUUGCACAAAUCCAAGGACAUCACAAUAUAUAUAUGCAUUUAUGCAAUAGUUAUAAAGUGAUAUACGCCAAAAUAUAAUAAGCAAAAAGAUUUUGUAUCAAGUCACAUGUGCCAUCAC